rnacentral:rRNA from 1 species
UACGGAGGGUGCAAGCGUUAUCCGGAUUUACUGGGUUUAAAGGGUGUGUAGGCGGACUUUUAAGUCCGUGGUGAAAUCUCCGGGCUCAACCCGGAAACUGCCAUGGAUACUAUUGGUCUUGAAUGUUGUUGAGGUGGGCGGAACGGGUCAUGUAGCGGUGAAAUGCAUAGAUAUGACCCGGAACACCGAUUGCGAAGGCAGCCCACGAAGCAAUGAUUGACGCUGAGGCACGAAAGCGUGGGGAUCAAACAGG